AAGGAUUUAGCUGAGUGGUUUAGCAUCGAUCUUACACAUCGACGACAGAGGUUCGAUUCCUCUAAUUCUUAC
rnacentral:tRNA from 1 species